rnacentral:rRNA from 1 species
CCAGACUCCUACGGGAGGCAGCAGUGAGGAAUAUUGGUCAAUGGUCGGGAGACUGAACCAGCCAAGCCGCGUGAGGGAUGAAGGUACAGAGUAUCGUAAACCUCUUUUGUCAGGGAACAAAGGCGGGGACGUGUCCCCGGAUGAGUGUACCUGAAGAAAAAGCAUCGGCUAACUCCGUGCCAGCAGCCGCGGUAAUACGGAGGAUGCGAGCGUUAUCCGGAUUUAUUGGGUUUAAAGGGUGCGUAGGCGGACGCUUAAGUCAGCGGUAAAUUUGCGGGGCUCAACCUCGUGGAGCCGUUGAAACUGGGUGCCUUGAGUGGGCGAGAAGUACGCGGAAUGCGUGGUGUAGCGGUGAAAUGCAUAGAUAUCACGAAGAACCCCGAUUGCGAAGGCAGCUUACUAAACUGUGACUGACAUUGAUGCUCGAAAGUGUGGGUAUCAAACAGGAUUAGAUACCCUCGUA